UACAGAGGUCCCAAGCGUUGUUCGGAAUUACUGGGCGUAAAGGGCUCGUAGGUGGCCAACUAAGUCAGACGUGAAAUCCCUCGGCUUAACCGGGGAACUGCGUCUGAUACUGGAUGGCUUGAGUUUGGGAGAGGGAUGCGGAAUUCCAGGUGUAGCGGUGAAAUGCGUAGAUAUCUGGAGGAACACCGGUGGCGAAGGCGGCAUCCUGGACCGGCAUUGACGCUGAUGAGCGAAAGCUAGGGGAGCAAACGGG
rnacentral:rRNA from 1 species